GAAAUCUCUGCAGAGCACGCCAGUCUAAAGUUGCCCGCACUUAUUACCCAACUUUCUUGGACAGCUGACCUAUCAACAAGCCAGCAAACAUUAUUGACCCUGUUCUAUCUGCAAGACAGGAGAUAGGGGAUAUGAAAGAGACAUAAAGAUAACAGGACACGAAGCUUUAAUGAGUAUGCAAGACGAUUGAUUAUGAAGCAAGAGGUUCCAG
rnacentral:lncRNA from 10 species